GGGUUUGAUCAUGGCUCAGAGCGAACGCUGGCGGCAGGCUUAACACAUGCAAGUCGAGCGGAUGUAGCAAUACAUCAGCGGCAGACGGGAGAGUAACACGUGGGAACGCGCCCUUCGGUUCGGAAUAACUCAGGGAAACUUGAGCUAAUACCGGAUACGCCCUAACGGGGAAAGAUUUAUUGCCGAAGGAACGGCCCGCGUCGGAUUAGCUAGUUGGUGAGGUAAUGGCUCACCAAGGCGACGAUCCGUAGCUGGUCUGAGAGGAUGACCAGCCUCACUGGGACUGAGACACGGCCCAGACUCCUACGGGAGGCAGCAGUGGGGAAUAUUGGACAAUGGGCGCAAGCCUGAUCCAGCCAUGCCGCGUGGGUGAUGAAGGCCCUAGGGUUGUAAAGCCCUUUCGGCGGGGAAGAUAAUGACGGUACCCGCAGAAGAAGCCCCGGCUAACUUCGUGCCAGCAGCCGCGGUAAUACGAAGGGGGCUAGCGUUGCUCGGAAUUACUGGGCGUAAAGCGCACGUAGGCGGCUUCUUAAGUCGGUGGUGAAAUCCUGGAGCUCAACUCCAGAACUGCCUUCGAUACUGGGAAGCUCGAGUUCGGGAGA
rnacentral:rRNA from 1 species